rnacentral:rRNA from 1 species
GAUGAACGCUGGCGGCGUGCCUAAUACAUGCAAGUCUACCGAACCGACGAGGUGCUUGCCCCUCUGACGUUUGCGGCGUACGGGAGUGUCACCCGUGGUUAACCCACCUAUUAGACUGGGAUAAUUAUGGCAAACAUGAUCAUAUUCCGGCUUACUUAUUUUAUCACAUGGUUCUACACUGUAAGACAGCUUUGCUUUCCCUUAUAUAUGUAUCCGCGUAGCAUUAGCUAGUUGGUAUGGUAACUGCUUACCCAGGCAACGAUGCGUAGCCGACAUGAGAGGGUGAGCGGCCACACUGGAACUGAGAAACGGCCCAGACUCCUACGGGAGGCAGCAGUAGGGAAUCGUCCGCAAAGGGCGAAAGCUUGACGGAGCAACGCCGCGUGAGUGAUGAAGGACUUCGGAGCGUAAAACUCUGUUAUUAGGGAAGAACAAAUGUGUAAGUAACUAUGCACGUCUUGACGGUACCUAAACAGAAAGCCACGGCUAACUACGUG